CCUACGGGAGGCUGCAGUGAGGAAUAUUGGUCAAUGGGCGAGAGCCUGAACCAGCCAAGUCGCGUGAGGGAGUACUGCCCUAUGGGUUGUAAACCUCUUUUGUCGGGGAGCAACAGCCGGACGUGUCCGGCUGUGAGAGUACCCGAAGAAAAAGCAUCGGCUAACUCCGUGCCAGCAGCCGCGGUAAUACGGAGGAUGCGAGCGUUAUCCGGAUUUAUUGGGGUUAAAGGGUGCGCAGGCGGAUUUUUAAGUCAGCGGUCAAAUCGUGGGGCUCAACCCCAUCCAGCCGUUGAAACUGGGGAUCUAGAGUGUGCGAGAGGUAUGCGGAAUGCGUGGUGUAGCGGUGAAAUGCAUAGAUAUCACGCAGAACCCCGAUUGCGAAGGCAGCAUACCGGUGCACAACUGACGCUCAGGCACGAAAGCGUGGGUAUCGAACAGGAUUAGAUACCCGUGUAGUC
rnacentral:rRNA from 1 species